GACGAACGCUGGCGGCGUGCCUAAUACAUGCAAGUCGAACGAGGGGCGAACGGGUGAGUAACACGUGGGAACCUACCCAUCAGAGGGGGAUAACACUUGGAAACAGGUGCUAAUACCGCAUAUUGAUGGAUGGACUCGCGGUGCAUUAGCUAGUAGUGAAGGUAAUGGCUUACCUAGGCGACGAUCCCUAGCUGGUCUGAGAGGAUGAUCAGCAACACUGGGACUGAGACACGGCCCAGACUCCUACGGGAGGCAGCAGUGGGGAAUAUUGCACAAUGGGCGCAAGCCUGAUGCAGCCAUGCCGCGUGUAUGAAGAAGGCCCUAGGGUUGUAAAGUACUUUCAGUCGGGAGGCGUUACCGACAGAAGAAGCACCGGCUAACUCCGUGCCAGCAGCCGCGGUAAUAC
rnacentral:rRNA from 1 species